AGCCGGCGCAUCAGCUCCGGCACCGACCCGGACGGGCAGGGCCUUCGCGUGACGUAGACCGGAAAUCGCUGCUCAUACAAUCGGAGAGGCGCUCCACAUGCACAAGACCAUGCUCUGGACACUAAUGUUCAAUAACGUGCAGUCAACGACUGCCCGAAAGAACACGAUCUGCAUGCCGCGGGGGCGACACAACAGACAGCGUAUAAGAGCAAUGAUUCGUACAAGGAACCUCCCAAAGUCUGCGGGGCAAAGUCCCGCAAAGCUAGCACUGGGCACCGCAUCCGUGAGAGCCGACAAAAAUCCAAGUGAUAGCCCCACGGCAUUCCACCACGCGCCCACACGAGGAUUUCGCCAACAUUUCGACUGCCCAAAUGACACAAAAAUGUCAAAAGGGCUAGCAAAUAUCCAUCCAGGGACAACUUCGCUACCCACAAAAGGGUAGAACCGCACAGGCAACCGAUCGGAAGCAUCCCAACCACGACAUGUUCAAUGACGGGAGGGAGAGUGAAGAGACAGCCCCAUGUUCGGUUGGCCACACCAAAUGUGC
rnacentral:misc_RNA from 1 species